rnacentral:rRNA from 1 species
UACAGAGGUCUCAAGCGUUGUUCGGAUUCAUUGGGCGUAAAGGGUGCGUAGGCGGCGCGGUAAGUCGGGUGUGAAAUCUCGGAGCUUAACUCCGAAACUGCAUUCGAUACUGCCGUGCUUGAGGACUGGAGAGGAGACUGGAAUUUACGGUGUAGCGGUGAAAUGCGUAGAUAUCGUAAGGAAGACCAGUGGCGAAGGCGGGUCUCUGGGA